UACGUAGGGGGCAAGCGUUGUCCGGAAUCAUUGGGCGUAAAGAGCGUGUAGGCGGCCCGGUCAGUCCGCCGUGAAAGUCCAGGGCUCAACCCUGGAAUGCCGUUGGAUACUGCCGGGCUGGAGUCCGGAAGAGGCGAGUGGAAUUCCUGGUGUAGCGGUGAAAUGCGCAGAUAUCAGGAGGAACACCAAUUGCGAAGGCAGCUCGCUGGGACGUUACUGACGCUGAGACGCGAAAGCGUGGGGAGCAAACAGG
rnacentral:rRNA from 1 species